GAAUGAAAUAGUGCGAUAUGAUGCACAUCUUACCACGCAAGGUUUCUCUAAAACGCUUUGUGAUUGACAGCAACAUUAUGAAAUGUGGUUAGUGUUUCUCCAUAAGGAUAGUAAUACAGAGAUUGACAUGUAAGUUCCAGAAGAAUUACAUGGACUGGUUUAAAUAGUUCCAAACCACAGAACACCCUCUUAACUUGUUUGAGGUGUUCACUUACGAAUUGAAGCAAUCUGACGGAUGUGGUAUUACCCAUCUAAGUGAUUUUUUGAUCAGUUAGGGAUAUGAAUCAUGCCUUUGCGUGUUAAACUAUGAAGUCUUAUUCCAAAUUGCUAGAGUUGCAGUUUAUGUCAGUGACAUGAAUCUCACUAAGACUCUAGAAGAGCUUGAGAAAACUACCUCGCACUUGAAGACAUAAUUUGAGAUGAAGGAUCUUGGAAAAACUCAUUUAUACCUUGAACUGAAGUUCAAGCAUUGUUCUGACGGUACUUUGGUCUACUAGUCAAACUACAUUCCGAAGGUGUUACCUUUGAGUAUACCUAUGAUCUUCUAUACGCUAUAUGCAAAUGAGACCCUUGAAGAGGUUAUAGAAUCCAAAAUUCCAUAUCUAAGUUCAACUUUGCGCUUUGUUGUACUUAGCUCAUUGUUUUAGAUAGGACAUCUCAUUCGCUGUUAAUCUAUUGGUAAAGAUGCAACACUGCACCUACACGCGACCACUGAAUUUGUAUUAAAGACGUUUUUUCGCUAUCCUGAAAGGUACUACAGAUUUAGGCUAAUCCCAACGCAUCUCGAGCAAAUCUGACCCCAUUGAUCCUCAGAAUGAUGCUUGCCUUAUUUGUUAUGCUGACGUAGUUUACUUAUCAAAGCCACACAAGGCAAAUCCCCAAAUGACUAUGUCUUUACCAUUAGGGAUAUCACAAUAUCUUGGAGGUCCAAAUUUUGACUUUAGUUGAGAAAUCUUUGAAUUAUUCCAAGACUCAUCUUACUUCACUAUGCCACACGUGAGACAUGGUCGAGAGCUCUUGUUGAGCAUAUUCGAAGUACAUGUUGUUUUCAUCCAUCGUUGAGUCCUAACGACGAUCCAUGAAGACUAUGUUGCAUGUAUCAACCUGACCAAUACAUGAUACAUCAACGAAGUCAAUGCCAAGACAUAUUGCGUCUACAUCUACAUCAGCAAAGCAUCAGGAGAUUGAAGUCAUGCAAACUGAUUCCAGACAACCUUGUUGACCUCUACAAGAUGCCAUUGCCUAAGUCAACCUUCCAGAAACUUGUCUGAGGAAUUGGUAUACCUAAAUAUUCAUAUGCAAUGCUUGUAGUUCUCAUUUGGAAGUUCUGUCAAACUCAGAGGGAGUAUCCAGAAGUACUCACUUGAUCUUAAUGUACUCUUUUUCCUUACGAUUAGGAGCAUUUUUCCCAUUGGGUUUUCGCUACCUAAUUAGAUUUUGACGAGGCACCCAUCCUGGGCUAGUCAUACCCUUGUGAGCUCUUCUACUUGCAUCUAGAAGACGUAUAGUUUUGACUUAUUGCAACUACUCACUUUUCUCCUUAGUCUAUGAGUUUUUCUCCCACCUUGGGUUUUACCAUAGCGAGGUUUUGUGAGUUUUACGUUUUAUGUAUUCUUCCGUUGAUCUGAGACUCGCAUUCACUCAUUGUGUCAACGGCUUCAUCAAAUGUACUUACUUAAUCGCUACAGACCUGAUGUGCUAUUUAGUUGAGUAUUUACACACUCAAGGGGGAGUGUUGCAGUCCUAUUAGAUUAGGAUUGUGAUUGUGUAAAUCAUAGUGUAUCUAGGGAUAUCUUGGAAUAUUCUCUAGGGUUAGAUAUUAUCUUAUUAGAGUUGUAAUCUUAUUAGGGUAAGGAUUUAACCUUCUAUACUACUAUAAAUAAAGGCACAAUGAUGUGAGAUAAAACACAUCUCACAAUUACACAUCUCUCUCUUCUCUUUAUGUGCCGCACCCCCCCCCCUCUCUCUCUAUGGCCUCUAUAAUUGUUCAGUAAAUUAUGCCUACAACAUAAAUAGUCUACUAUGUCAACUAAACAAACGCUUUUUACAACCCAGAUGAUGGAAUUGUGUAAAGUGGGGCACAAAUGAAGAACACAAAGGAUAAAGUGGGAUAAAAUAUGGUAUAUGGAGUACUGAGAGUUUUGUGUUGUGCUUCUACUCCGUAUCUUCAUUUUCUAAUCACAAAGCACUCUUUCAAUUUACCUCUUGCAUCGGAUGUGGGGUUAUACACAUAAACACACGAAAGUAAUUUUAUUUACUUGAAAAUAUCGUUGUACACAUGCAUGAAGUACAAAUCCAUAAACAAAUGAGAGUAAAUUAUACUUGAUAAUCCCACAUAUAGAGAUGGACUACAUUAAUCUUAGGUCUGGAUUAAUCAUCCCGUGGUACUUAAUCUUAGGUCUCGAUUAAUCAUCCCAUGGUACUUCAUUUGAUCUAAUUCUCAUUGAUUUUGAUUGGUAAGUCUAGCUUAUGUUGUAGUUGAUUACUCUUGGUGAGAGGAGAAACAAAUGACGUGUCAUAUUGUCAUCUUUUGACUUUUUUUGGCGUGACGCUUCUUCAUUGGUGUGUUGGUUUUAAAAGAUACGCAUAUCCUAUUGGAGACACUACUACAAAAGGGCCCUAUAGUGUCAGUUGUUGCGUCGGUUUAAUAUAAUAUAGUGGCGCACAAGAGAGUUGCGACACCCACUGAAUAUGACGUCGGUUUUAGAAAGCCUGCGUCGCUUUUAAACGACGUAAACAUUUAAUGUCGCUUAUAACCGACACACAUUUUAAUAAUUUUAAAUACUGGCAUCGCUUUAAAUAAAACAGUGUCGCUUUUAAGCGACAUAAAGUAUGGGUGUCGCAUAUAGAAGCGACACUAAUUGAUUUUUUUAUAUAUUUUAAAUCCUACGUCGGUUCUGAGCGACAUAUAUUUUAUUUUUUUAAAUAUUUUGAAACCCAGUGUCGGUUGUAAGCGACAGACUGAUGAUCUUUAUAUACCCUCCCCCGUGUUUUCUUCGUUUUCUCUUGCAUUUAUCUCAUUCUCACGG
rnacentral:lncRNA from 1 species